rnacentral:rRNA from 1 species
UACGUAGGGUGCGAACGUUUAUCCGGAAUUAUUGGGCGUAAAGAGCUCGUAGGCGGUUUGUCGCGUCUGCCGUGAAAGUCCGGGGCUCAACUCCGGAUCUGCGGUGGGUACGGGCAGACUAGAGUGAUGUAGGGGAGACUGGAAUUCCUGGUGUAGCGGUGAAAUGCGCAGAUAUCAGGAGGAACACCGAUGGCGAAGGCAGGUCUCUGGGCAUUAACUGACGCUGAGGAGCGAAAGCAUGGGGAGCGAACAGG